AUUGAACGCUGGCGGCAGGCUUAACACAUGCAAGUCGAGCAGGGUGAUAGUGCUUGCACUAUCACUUAGCGGCGGACGGGUGAGUAAUGCUUAGGAAUCUGCCUAUUAGUGGGGGACAACAUCUCGAAAGGGAUGCUAAUACCGCAUACGUCCUACGGGAGAAAGCAGGGGAUCACUUGUGACCUUGCGCUAAUAGAUGAGCCUAAGUCGGAUUAGCUAGUUGGUGGGGUAAAGGCCUACCAAGGCGACGAUCUGUAGCGGGUCUGAGAGGAUGAUCCGCCACACUGGGACUGAGACACGGCCCAGACUCCUACGGGAGGCAGCAGUGGGGAAUAUUGGACAAUGGGGGGAACCCUGAUCCAGCCAUGCCGCGUGUGUGAAGAAGGCCUUAUGGUUGUAAAGCACUUUAAGCGAGGAGGAGGCUCUUUUGGUUAAUACCCAAGAUGAGUGGACGUUACUCGCAGAAUAAGCACCGGCUAACUCAGUGCCAGCCGCCGCAGUAA
rnacentral:rRNA from 1 species